UCAAGGCGAAAGAACAGCGACGACUUGGAAUGUUUUAUAGUUGUUGAAAUUCUAAAAAACGUGGGCGAUGAGUUUACUAGUCGUAUUGAAUCAACGUCUAUUUAUGUUCCAACCGCUGAUCCAAAUUAUGUAAUACUUCCUCCACAUCUGGUAGUUCUCAAGUCCUGGCUUAAAAAAGAAAACUUCCGAACACAAACGCGAUGCCUGGAAGCCAAUGACAUAAAAUAUUGUCCUAUGGGAACAGACUGCUUUGAAGACAACGUCAGCUAUUGGUGUACGUGCUCAGAAGGAUCUACCCGGUUGAUAAGUUUGUUCGAUGAGAAAGAUAAGGAGGAAAAGUAUCCAACUGAAAUAUGUAUAGACAAGAACGAGUGCCUGCAACUUGAUAUAUGUCCGGAAAACUCAGAAUGUCGUAACUUAAUUGGGACGUACGAGUGUAACUGUAAGAGUGGUUUUCGGAAACAUGAUAGUGAUCCUAAGUGUGUUGGUGA